CCUGGCGUCCCUGGGGUAGAAACGAAGCCGGGUGGAAGGUCGGGGGUGUGGGGAGAGACCGGCGGAGAGAAGACAGAGGGCGGUCGACCUGCGCUCUCUUUGGUGCUGGGGUCGGGGGCAUCUGCGGCAGCUGGGGUGUCGUGGUCCCCUCUAGAGCUGCGAGGAGGUAAAAAUGCCAAGAAGUUUAACACUCAAUAAAAAAUCCACUUCAAAAAGUCUGGGAAGACAGAUUCCAGCCUACUGGGCAUCUGUGCAGCUAAACGCAUUCCUGCCUGCAGGUCUUCUUGCAGGAAACCCUCCCUAACUCACCAGGCAGUGAGGUCUCUACCUCUCCUCCUUCAGUGCUAAUGCACUAGGUGCAGGGGAUUUAGAGCACCAUGCCCCUACCAGGAGCUGCUUUUGGGAAGAAGAACUACCUAUUCAGGCAGAGCUUGUAUAAGCGUCCUGCCUCUGGUUCAGGCAGUGAGCUCUGUGACGUCACUGGAACACUGAGGGAAAGUUCCUUCUAUUCUUCAACGGAAACUUUGACAGCAAGUCAGCUCGGUGACCGCACAACCUUUCAGCAUCAUAUUUUGGCCUUUAUUUGUUCAUUUAGCACAUUCCAAGACACUACAGCAGGGUGCUGGAGGUAAAUAACAAACAAAGGAAACUCCUGCCAUGAAGUAGCUUAUGCUUGAAGGAGACAGACAACAAAGCAGAUGCCGUGUGGUGCCCCCUCGGGGUGGGGGGUAUGAGCAUGUGAGCAGACCCCUGAAGGAAGUAAAGGCCCAUACAUGGUGGAAGAGUGUUCCAGCAGAGGGAAGGGCUGUGCAAAGCCUGUGCGGCAGGAGGCAGAGCAGCUGGAGAGGUUGGAAUGAUGAGCCAGCAGAACAGGCUAGCCAGGGGGACACUAGGACCCGAGACAUGGAAAGGCCUUUAAGUUUCCAUCUGGGAAGGUGGGUACACAUUGGAGAAGGAGAGCAACAGAGAGACGCGGCCUAAUUGAUAGGACCGUUCUGGUGACUAGGUGGAAAAUAGAUUUCAGGAGCAAGAGGAAGCCAGACACAGGCUUUUAAGAGUCCAGGUGUGAGGGGACAGCAGCUUGGCCUGAGCUGGCUUGGGCAUGAUUUUUAAUGGAAGGGCUUAGAAGUUCUGUUGUUGAGUUUCGUGCUGGGUGGGAGAAAAAGAAGAUGGCAGGAAAAACGAAGACAUUCACCACACUUGGCAAGCUCAGCUGCUUUUCAGGACGGGAGAGGAAUUGUUGGAAGGUGUGAGACCGGAAGGACGCUUUAGCUGAGGUUGUCCCACAAUAAUGAUUUUCCUGAAGUGGACCAGCUGGAUCUGGAAGCUGGACCCACUGAUCCCUGGUGCUGAGGUCACCGACGACUGUUUGUGUUUAGAUGGUUCCGUGCUGUGUGAAGAACUCAUGUCACGCAGACCAGCCUUUCCUCUCCUUCCGGUAGCAUGCUUGAAGGAGAAUGAGAUCCCCAGAAACCCACACAACUAGACAAUGUGCUAUACAGUCAUUGUUAUUCUGGCAGAAGAAGUGAGACCUCAAGAGGAAGGAAGUAUCUAGAAUGCAUGUAGCUCUUGUCCAGAAAAAAAAAAAUGUGGUUAUUAAGAUGUCUCAAUCAACCGGGUAUCCCUGUUUCAGGAGAACAGGAGGACUGGAGAGAUGACAUAAUCUGCCCAAAAUUCAAGGUGACUCUAGAACCACGCCGUUCUCCAGCUAACCACUCAGAACUCUGGUUGUCUCUGGAAGCAAUGGACUUAGAGGGACUUCAGGCUUUGUGACCAUCAGCCUUUGUCUCCUCUGCUGGGAUUUGUCUCAGGAGAAUCCCAAGCCAUUCCAACAGGCAACAAUCACGGAGUCACGGACCGUCAGAGCGACUUGGCACUUCGAAGUGGUGCUGUCAUCGGCAAGUGUGUGGUGAAAGCUUCCGUGAGUGAGCAGCUCGGCUGUAGGCACGCGAUGGCUCCACUAAGACACAGUCAUGCAACAGGUGUAGCUGUCAGGAACACACCUCACAUGCUCCACACCUUUCUUUCUGAGAAAAACUAAGCUUCCAAAACCACUCAAUGUUCUAUCUUCAUUUGGGUGGAGAGGGGACAUCGAGACUAUGCAGAUUUUGAUUUUGAGCCCCUCUCCCACCGUCCUGCACUGAAGGAAGAUGUGUGCUAGAAGGAAUUUGCUGGAAGGGUUCAUGGAUCUCAGCAUAUAGUUGUACUCGUAGCUGAGCUUUAUCCCAGGGUAGGCAUACAAAGCAGAAACCUCGGAGGGAAAAGGUGCAUGGGCCGAAGUCCAGAGGAAGCCAGAAGCCAGCUGCCAGGAGUCCUCUCCCUGAAACCACACAAAAGGCGCUUAAUUCCUCUAGCAAUGCAUUGUAACAACACGUGUCAAGUGUUGUUUACUGGGGAAACUCGCUAGAGACUCAGUGCCCUAGGGUUUCAGUGGAGGCUGGUCACAUAAGGCAUCCUCUGCCGAGCAUGUACCAAAAUUGCAGACUUCUAGAAGGAGCACGGGUGUUCAUCACAAACCAUAUCAUUUGCACACAACCAGGCAGCGUGAACCACCCUCAUCAUUUAAGCAAAGUUUCAUUAUCAUCACUGAGAGCUGUUUGUCAGCCAAUCCCCAAGAGUCAGUCAAGGCCAACUUGGCAAAGCAGGCCUUGCCAAGGGCGAGCAGGCUCAGGCCUGCUGUGUAAACUCUGUCCUGUGCAGAAAGGUAAUCAUGUCCCAUUCCUUAUUCUACUAGAACUUAAUAUCGCCCUAAUAAGGUAAACGUGAUUGUUUAUCAUCAUAAA